GACGAACGCUGGCGGCGUGCCUAAUACAUGCAAGUCGAACGGUGAAGCGCCUUCCUUUUUGGUGGGUGUGGAUGAGUGGAGAACGGGUGAGUAACACGUGAGUCACCCGCCACCUUCUUCUGGACAACCGCAUGCAAGUGCUGAUAACACGGGAUAUUCUGGGUCUGUCGCAUGAUGGGUCUGGGAAAGAUUUUGUUUCGGUGGGGGAUGGGCUCGCGGCCUAUUAGCUUGUUGGUGGGGUGAUGGCCUACCAAGGCGGUGACGAGUAGCCGGCCUGAGAGGGUCGGCCGACACACAAGUGCUAAGAGGCGGCCCAUACUACUGCGGGAGGCAGCAGGGAGUAUUAUUGAACGAUGGACGCAAGCCUGAUGCAACGACGCCGCGGGAAUGAUGGUCUCCUGCUGGUAGAAAACCGCUUUCGCCAGUGAAGCAAGCCUGCCUCGUUUGUGGAUGUGUUGACGGUAGCUGAUUAGAAAGCGCCGGCUAACUACGUG
rnacentral:rRNA from 1 species